CCCUUAGAUGUUCUGGGCUGCACGCGCGCUACACUGAUGCAUGCAACGAGUUUUCGACCUUGCCUGAAAAGGUUGGGUAAUCUGUUUAACAUGUGUCGUGAUGGGGAUAGACCAUUGCAAUUAUUGAUCUUGAACGAGGAAUUCCUAGUAAACGCGAGUCAUCAGCUCGCAUUGAUUACGUCCCUGCCCUUUGUACACACCGCCCGUCGCACCUACCGAUUGAAUGUUUCGGUGAAGAUUCCGGAUAGGACUGAUUUGAUUUAUUUCAUUUCUGACCUAAAAGCUAUCUAAACCUCAACAUUUAGAGGAAGGUGAAGUCGUAACA
rnacentral:rRNA from 1 species